rnacentral:tmRNA from 1 species
GGGGGUGCACUGGAUUCGACGGGGGUCAAGAGGCUGUAGAGGCGUGCCGAGUUGUCCGCGACUCGUAACUAUCGUGGAAAUUAAAUAUAACUGCUGACAAUCAGUUAGCUCUGGCUGCUUAAAGCAGCCACGUCCCGCCGUUUUUUCCCGUGAAGACGGGUCGGGGCGUCACACAGCGGGAUAGGUUGGAGCGUUGCUUCCCGGCGUUCUGGCCGAAACCUAGGGGAUAGCGGACGUGCGCUCCUGCCGGUUCGUACGUUACGUUCGCGAAACUCAACGGAUCGGAUACGCACGUAGUCUCUGCUCGCUGAAGUCCUUCGGACGCGGGUUCGAUUCCCGCCACCUCCACCA